CGGGAUGUAGCGUAGCCAGGUAUCGCGCCAACAUGGGGUGCUGGAGGCCGGAAGUUCGAAUCUUCUCAUCCCGA
rnacentral:tRNA from 1 species